rnacentral:tmRNA from 1 species
GGGGGUGCACAGGAUUUCGACCUGGAUGAGAUAUUAAUAGUGUCAGCAAGUAGUGGUUAGACGAAGGGCCACUAUAAAAAUCGUCUGAAAUUUUUACUUGCUAAAAAUAGCGAUUAUACUCUUAACAGCGCUGCUAUAGCAGCCUAGUUCGAGAGCGUGAAGCCUGUGAUGUCUGAUAAGCAGGAUUUCAUGUAACUUUAUCAGGCUUAUCUUUGUUGUUUCCCACUAACAGCGAGGUGAUCUUUCAAAUGGGAGGCCGUACCUGAGGAUGUCAGUGAACAAAAUGGUAUUGGCGAGAUAUAAAAAUCUGACUAAACUUGUAGAAAGCUAUUAGUUCUGUCUUUGGGACGCGGGUUCGAUUCCCGCCACCUCCACCA